rnacentral:lncRNA from 10 species
UGCCGCCGUGAUUGUGAGGCCUCCUCAGCCAUGUAGAACUAUAACAAUAUCAACUGAAUAUAAAAUAUUAAUGCCAUGGAUGAUCUCAGAAAUGAUUUCCUACAAAGUCCCAACCUAUCCUGGAACAUUUCUUAUGUGUGCUUGGGAGAUUGCAAGAGGACAACUCGGCUCUAAAAUCGAUGCAUUAACAUGUCAUUGGAAUUGACCUUGCCAAAAGAUGCCUCCCUAAAUCCACAAGAAUCUCCUUGUUUGAACACAGUUUCUAAUCCAGCUGUAAUGAAGACAGACAACAGUCAAAUUAACAACUGAUCAGGAGGAGAAGUUCAUACUCCUUGAGCUGGAUCUAUCUGCACAUGCACCUGGCCCAGGAAGCUGAAAUGGGAGAUCUGAUGAGCAGUGGAGGACUGAACCAAAGCCCUUGGCUUUUGCUCCAUACCAGUCAGAGUCUCAUCAGGAUAUCAUGUUGCAUUGAGUAGUCAUGUCUCCACAGGCUUUUCUUGGCUGCGACUCUUACUCACGUUUUCCUUGGUUUUGCCCACCUUACAGUUUACAGUAGUGGUCAGGUAUUUUGUAGUAUGUCCCUCACUUGGGCUUUGCUUGAUGCUUAUCUCCUGAGAAAACUAGGGAUAUGUAUUUUGGGGAGGAAGGCCACAGAGAUGAAGUGACAUUCUUUUCACAUCAUAUCAAUGCUACAUACUAUCAAAAGGGCUUAUCACUGUUGAUGUUAAUUUUAAUCACCUGGCUAAGAUAUUCUUUUUCAGGAUUUUGACUUUAAAGUUACCCUUUAUGCUUUUCCUUCUCAUAAAGUGCUCUUUGAAAUGAAGUCACUCUGUGCAGCAGACAUUUAAAAAGCAGGAAAUUAUGGUGACAGAGUAUCUGUAUAAAUUAUUUGCAGUUCUUUUAUUUUCAGAGUUUGGAAUUAUAGCACUCCUAUAAAUCUUAUUACUAAUGGUGCCACAAAUUGUGUACUACUGAUAUGUAUUAGUGCACAACUUAAAGCAUGUGGACAUGAGCUGUAUUUGAAAAAACAUUCAGAUGGAAGAGCUACCUGAUUUGAAGUGAAUCUUAAUUGGAACUUAAUGAUGCCUCCUAGUAAUUUACUAUUUUAGCUGAACCUACAGUAUCAGCUGUAGCCCAGAAAAUAUAAGAGCUACAAUUCGUACAAUUCAACAUCAGCUGCCAAGGCCCACCUGGACUGCACCUGCAAAACCAGCUGUGGUUUCUUUGCUCUCACAAUUCAUGUCAGUGUUUUUCAGCCAAUGCAUCACUGGUUUCGAAUUUUAUACUGUUCCUCUCUCAGUCCUCCACCCCUCUAGUUUCUAAAUGAUAGAGAAUAAUUAGGUGAGGUUUAAACUCUCAGGAUUAUUCAGGGUUUGUGGAGAGUAGGAAGGUUUCUUCCAGGUUACAGCACAAUUUAAGGAGCCUGGCAAGAAGCAUCCAAUAUUAGCAAGUAGAAAAGCAGCAUAAGUAUGAGGUUGGAACUUCCCACGAUACUUAGUACAUGGAAAAAAAUGUAGAACAUACCAAAAAAAAAGCAAAUUGUAAAAAAAUUUCACAAAUAAAAAUACUGUUAUGAAAAUUAUAAUUCACAUUUUUAAUAUUUUUUAUUGUAAAAUGUAUAAAAUUUGCCAUUUAACCUCUUAAGUGUACAAUUCAGUGGCAUUAAUUGUAUUUACAGUUUUGUGCAACAAUCACCACUAUUUUCAAAAAUUUUCAUCAAUCCAAACAGAAACUCUGGCAAUUAGUAACAACUCCCCAUUUUUUAUUCCUAAUCCAUCCCCUAGUAAACUCUAAAUCUUGUCUCUGUGAAUCUCCCUGUUCUAAAUAUUUGUAUAAGAGGAAUCAUACAACAUUGACCCUUUUGUGUCUGGCUAAUUUCACUUUGCAUAAUGUUUAAAAGCUUCAUCCAUAUAGUGACAUGUAUGAGAACUUCAUUUCUUUUUUAUGGCUCAAUUAUAUUCCACAGUAUGCACACACACCCCAUUUUGUUUAUCCAUUCAUCUGUUGAUAGACACACGUGGGUUAUUUCCUCCUUUUGGCUGUUAUGAAUAAUGCUGCUAUAAACACUAGUGUGCAUUUAUCUGAAUUCAUGUUUUACAUUCAUUGGGAUACCAAAUUAAAAUGCUGGGUCAUAUGGUAAUUCUGUUUAACAUUUUAAGGUAUCACCAAACUGUCUUCCACAGCAGCUGCAUCAUUUUAAAUGCAGACCAACAAAGUAUGAUUCUCCAAAUUUCCCAGUUACUCGUCAACUCUUGUUCUACAUUUUCUAACUAUAGUGAUACUAGUAGGUAUAACAUUAUGUCAUUGUGAUUUUGAUUUGCAAUGGCCUAAAAACUAAUGGUUUUUUAAUAACUUUCAUGUUGUACUCAUUGGCCAUUUGCAUAUCUUUAGCAAAAUGUCUAUUCAAAUCCUUUGCCUGUUUUUAAUUGGGUUGUUUUGUCUUUUUGUUGUAGAGUUGUAGUUUUUUAAUGUCUUGAUAUAAAUCUCUUACAAGAUACAUACUUCACAGUACAUUAUCUCAUUUUGUAAAUAAGUUAUUUCACUCUCUUAGUGAUGUUUUUAUUAUCUAAAGGUUUUAAUACUUUUUAAAACUUGUACUGUGAAUAUGAUAUGCCCUGUGAUUAACAAAUUUAUUUAUUACUUAAACAACUUAAUUUUUAAAAAUAAUUGCAUGAAUAUUUUUGUCCUAUUUGUUCCAUUCCUACUUCGUGAACACCAAUUAUCUGUUUGACAGAUUGUCAUUUUCCAUGCUUCAUACAAAUUCUUUUUUCUUCUGCAUUUUUUUCUUUCCAAUCUUUGUGAAUGUAUUUAAUUUUCUUGCCUUGAUAUUCUGACUAGAACCUCCAGUAUAAUUUAUUUAUU